GGUUAAGCGACUAAGCGUACACGGUGGAUGCCCUGGCAGUCAGAGGCGAUGAAGGACGUGUUAAUCUGCGAUAAGCGCCGGUAAGGUGAUAUGAACCGUUAUAACCGGCGAUUUCCGAAUGGGGAAACCCAGUGUGAUUCGUCACACUAUCAUUAACUGAAUCCAUAGGUUAAUGAGGCGAACCGGGGGAACUGAAACAUCUAAGUACCCCGAGGAAAAGAAAUCAACCGAGAUUCCCCCAGUAGCGGCGAGCGAACGGGGAGGAGCCCAGAGCCUGAAUCAGCAUGUGUGUUAGUGGAAGCGUCUGGAAAGGCGCGCGAUACAGGGUGACAGCCCCGUACACAAAAAGCGCAUGUGCUGUGAGCUCGAUGAGUAGGGCGGGACACGUGGUAUCCUGUCUGAAUAUGGGGGGACCAUCCUCCAAGGCUAAAUACUCCUGACUGACCGAUAGUGAACCAGUACCGUGAGGGAAAGGCGAAAAGAACCCCGGCGAGGGGAGUGAAAAAGAACCUGAAACCGUGUACGUACAAGCAGUGGGAGCCCCACCACUAAGCCAGUGGUGAACUCCACAUACGCAUCCUUUGCUGAGGAUACGGUUAACGGAGCGAAAGCGACGUUCAACCUCAAAAGAAGCAGAGGGGGCUUAGUGGUGGGGUGACUGCGUACCUUUUGUAUAAUGGGUCAGCGACUUAUAUUCUGUAGCAAGGUUAACCGAAUAGGGGAGCCGGAGGGAAACCGAGUCUUAAUUGGGCGUUAAGUUGCAGGGUAUAGACCCGAAACCCGGUGAUCUAGCCAUGGGCAGGUUGAAGGUUGGGUAACACUAACUGGAGGACCGAACCGACUAAUGUUGAAAAAUUAGCGGAUGACCUGUGGCUGGGGGUGAAAGGCCAAUCAAACCGGGAGAUAGCUGGUUCUCCCCGAAAGCUAUUUAGGUAGCGCCUCGUGAAUUCAUCUCCGGGGGUAGAGCACUGUUUCGGCUAGGGGGCCAUCCCGGCUUACCAACCCGAUGCAAACUGCGAAUACCGGAGAAUGUUAUCACGGGAGACACACGGCGGGUGCUAACGUCCGUCGUGAAGAGGGAAACAACCCAGACCGCCAGCUAAGGUCCCAAAGUCAUGGUUAAGUGGGAAACGAUGUGGGAAGGCCCAGACAGCCAGGAUGUUGGCUUAGAAGCAGCCAUCAUUUAAAGAAAGCGUAAUAGCUCACUGGUCGAGUCGGCCUGCGCGGAAGAUGUAACGGGGCUAAACCAUGCACCGAAGCUGCGGCAGCGACACUGUGUGUUGUUGGGUAGGGGAGCGUUCUGUAAGCCUGCGAAGGUGGCCUGUGAGGGUUGCUGGAGGUAUCAGAAGUGCGAAUGCUGACAUAAGUAACGAUAAAGCGGGUGAAAAGCCCGCUCGCCGGAAGACCAAGGGUUCCUGUCCAACGUUAAUCGGGGCAGGGUGAGUCGACCCCUAAGGCGAGGCCGAAAGGGCGUAGUCGAUGGGAAACGGGUUAAUAUUCCCGUACUUGGUGUUACUGCGAAGGGGGGACGGAGAAGGCUAUGUUGGCCGGGCGACGGUUGUCCCGGUUUAAGCGUGUAGGUGUGUGUUCCAGGUAAAUCCGGUUCACUUUAACACUGAGGCGUGACGACGAGGCACUACGGUGCUGAAGCAACAAAUGCCCUGCUUCCAGGAAAAGCCUCUAAGCAUCAGGUAACAUCAAAUCGUACCCCAAACCGACACAGGUGGUCAGGUAGAGAAUACCAAGGCGCUUGAGAGAACUCGGGUGAAGGAACUAGGCAAAAUGGUGCCGUAACUUCGGGAGAAGGCACGCUGACACGUAGGUGAAGUGAUUUACUCACGGAGCUGAAGUCAGUCGAAGAUACCAGCUGGCUGCAACUGUUUAUUAAAAACACAGCACUGUGCAAACACGAAAGUGGACGUAUACGGUGUGACGCCUGCCCGGUGCCGGAAGGUUAAUUGAUGGGGUCAGCGCAAGCGAAGCUCCUGAUCGAAGCCCCGGUAAACGGCGGCCGUAACUAUAACGGUCCUAAGGUAGCGAAAUUCCUUGUCGGGUAAGUUCCGACCUGCACGAAUGGCGUAAUGAUGGCCAGGCUGUCUCCACCCGAGACUCAGUGAAAUUGAACUCGCUGUGAAGAUGCAGUGUACCCGCGGCAAGACGGAAAGACCCCGUGAACCUUUACUAUAGCUUGACACUGAACAUUGAGCCUUGAUGUGUAGGAUAGGUGGGAGGCUUUGAAGUGUGGACGCCAGUCUGCAUGGAGCCGACCUUGAAAUACCACCCUUUAAUGUUUGAUGUUCUAACGUGGACCCGUAAUCCGGGUUGCGGACAGUGUCUGGUGGGUAGUUUGACUGGGGCGGUCUCCUCCUAAAGAGUAACGGAGGAGCACGAAGGUUGGCUAAUCCUGGUCGGACAUCAGGAGGUUAGUGCAAUGGCAUAAGCCAGCUUGACUGCGAGCGUGACGGCGCGAGCAGGUGCGAAAGCAGGUCAUAGUGAUCCGGUGGUUCUGAAUGGAAGGGCCAUCGCUCAACGGAUAAAAGGUACUCCGGGGAUAACAGGCUGAUACCGCCCAAGAGUUCAUAUCGACGGCGGUGUUUGGCACCUCGAUGUCGGCUCAUCACAUCCUGGGGCUGAAGUAGGUCCCAAGGGUAUGGCUGUUCGCCAUUUAAAGUGGUACGCGAGCUGGGUUUAGAACGUCGUGAGACAGUUCGGUCCCUAUCUGCCGUGGGCGCUGGAGAACUGAGGGGGGCUGCUCCUAGUACGAGAGGACCGGAGUGGACGCAUCACUGGUGUUCGGGUUGUCAUGCCAAUGGCACUGCCCGGUAGCUAAAUGCGGAAGAGAUAAGUGCUGAAAGCAUCUAAGCACGAAACUUGCCCCGAGAUGAGUUCUCCCUGAGACUUUAGGUCUCCUGAAGGAACGUUGAAGACGACGACGUUGAUAGGCCGGGUGUGUAAGCGCAGCGAUGCGUUGAGCUAACCGGUACUAAUGAACCGUGAGGCUUAACCUU
rnacentral:rRNA from 1 species